GUCAGGAUGGCCGAGCGGUCUAAGGCGCUGCGUUCAGGUCGCAGUCUCCCCUGGAGGUUCGAAUCCCACUUCUGACA
rnacentral:tRNA from 1 species